UCGAUUCCCUUAGUAGCGGCGAGCGAAACGGGAAGAGCCCAAACCAACAAGCUUGCUUGUUGGGGUUGUAGGACACUCUAUACGGAGUUACAAAGGACGACAUUAGACGAAUCAUCUGGAAAGAUGAAUCAAAGAAGGUAAUAAUCCUGUAGUCGAAAAUGUUGUCUCUCUUGAGUGGAUCCUGAGUACGACGGAGCACGUGAAAUUCCGUCGGAAUCUGGGAGGACCAUCUCCUAAGGCUAAAUACUCUCUAGUGACCGAUAGUGAACCAGUACCGUGAGGGAAAGGUGAAAAGCACCCCGGAAGGGGAGUGAAAUAGAACCUGAAACCGUGUGCUUACAAGUAGUCAGAGCCCGUUAAUGGGUGAUGGCGUGCCUUUUGUAGAAUGAACCGGCGAGUUACGAUUUGAUGCAAGGUUAAGCAGUAAAUGUGGAGCCGUAGCGAAAGCGAGUCUGAAUAGGGCGUUUAGUAUUUGGUCGUAGACCCGAAACCAGGUGAUCUACCCUUGGUCAGGUUGAAGUUCAGGUAACACUGAAUGGAGGACCGAACCGACUUACGUUGAAAAGUGAGCGGAUGAACUGAGGGUAGCGGAGAAAUUCCAAUCGAACCUGGAGAUAGCUGGUUCUCUCCGAAAUAGCUUUAGGGCUAGCCUCAAGUGAUGAUUAUUGGAGGUAGAGCACUGUUUGGACGAGGGGCCCCUCUCGGGUUACCGAAUUCAGACAAACUCCGAAUGCCAAUUAAUUUAACUUGGGAGUCAGAACAUGGGUGAUAAGGUCCGUGUUCGAAAGGGAAACAGCCCAGACCACCAGCUAAGGUCCCAAAAUAUAUGUUAAGUGGAAAAGGAUGUGGCGUUGCCCAGACAACUAGGAUGUUGGCUUAGAAGCAGCCAUCAUUUAAAGAGUGCGUAAUAGCUCACUAGUCGAGUGACACUGCGCCGAAAAUGUACCGGGGCUAAACAUAUUACCGAAGCUGUGGAUUGUCCUUUGGACAAUGGUAGGAGAGCGUUCUAAGGGCGUUGAAGCAUGAUCGUAAGGACAUGUGGAGCGCUUAGAAGUGAGAAUGCCGGUGUGAGUAGCGAAAGACGGGUGAGAAUCCCGUCCACCGAUUGACUAAGGUUUCCAGAGGAAGGCUCGUCCGCUCUGGGUUAGUCGGGUCCUAAGCUGAGGCCGACAGGCGUAGGCGAUGGAUAACAGGUUGAUAUUCCUGUACCACCUAUAAUCGUUUUAAUCGAUGGGGGGACGCAGUAGGAUAGGCGAAGCGUGCGAUUGGAUUGCACGUCUAAGCAGUAAGGCUGAGUAUUAGGCAAAUCCGGUACUCGUUAAGGCUGAGCUGUGAUGGGGAGAAGACAUUGUGUCUUCGAGUCGUUGAUUUCACACUGCCGAGAAAAGCCUCUAGAUAGAAAAUAGGUGCCCGUACCGCAAACCGACACAGGUAGUCAAGAUGAGAAUUCUAAGGUGAGCGAGCGAACUCUCGUUAAGGAACUCGGCAAAAUGACCCCGUAACUUCGGGAGAAGGGGUGCUCUUUAGGGUUAACGCCCAGAAGAGCCGCAGUGAAUAGGCCCAAGCGACUGUUUAUCAAAAACACAGGUCUCUGCUAAACCGUAAGGUGAUGUAUAGGGGCUGACGCCUGCCCGGUGCUGGAAGGUUAAGAGGAGUGGUUAGCUUCUGCGAAGCUACGAAUCGAAGCCCCAGUAAACGGCGGCCGUAACUAUAACGGUCCUAAGGUAGCGAAAUUCCUUGUCGGGUAAGUUCCGACCCGCACGAAAGGCGUAACGAUUUGGGCACUGUCUCAACGAGAGACUCGGUGAAAUCAUAGUACCUGUGAAGAUGCAGGUUACCCGCGACAGGACGGAAAGACCCCGUGGAGCUUUACUGUAGC
rnacentral:rRNA from 1 species